CUUUUAUUUUGAAAUACGAGCGCGAGCGCGCAUGACCGGAAGUGGCGCUUCAGCGCGAUCAGAUUUACUGUAAACAGUUCCUUCAGCAUUUCACUGUUAAGCUGUGUUUAGUUAAUUAAUCGAUCACAUCAGCAGCACAGCCAGUCGCUCAUUACAGGUGUCAGGAUGGUGUGUGAGCUGCUGCUGUCCUCGCUCUGGUUCCUGUUCGUGGUCUUCUGGCUGGAGAGCAUCAGUGUUUGGCUGUUUCUGUGUCUGUAUUAUCAGGACCGGGUGUUCUAUCACUGGGGCUCCGGUGAGUUUGCAGAUGAUCCGGAUCAGCUCCUCUAUGUGUUGAGCAGAAUCGACCUGUCUGCGCACAUGCAGACAUGAGGAAGUGAUGUCAUCGUGCCAGGUCAGAGGUCAGCGGGUCCUCGUGACGUCCCGAGUCAGUGAUGGACGGCUUCUACAGACGGAUAGAGCGAGGAGAUCAGCAGAAACACUAAACACCAGCAGGGAUUGUAGUCUUCUUCACACGAUCAGCGACAAACCUCCUUAAAACUGUUACCUGUGUGAACACUGACUGAGUUUAACCAGUUACUGUUUUAAACUAGUUGGACUUUCAUUUUGUGUAGCAUUAACAUCCCCAGAUUAACUUUUAUCAAAUUAUUGUGUCUUCUAUUUUUGUACCAAUUUCUCUUUUUUACAUAAUAAUAAUAAUAAUAAAGCGGUUUUAAACAGA